UGGGGAAUCUUAGACAAUGGGCGAAAGCCUGAUCUAGCCAUGCCGCGUGAGUGAUGAAGGCCCUAGGGUCGUAAAGCUCUUUCGCCAGAGAUGAUAAUGACAGUAUCUGGUAAAGAAACCCCGGCUAACUCCGUGCCAGCAGCCGCGGUAAUACAGAGGGGGCAAGCGUUGUCCGGACUUACUGGGCGUAAAGCGCACGCAGGUGGUAACGCAAGUGGGGUGUGAAAGCCGCCAGCUCAACUGGCGGAGGCCAUCCCAAACUGCGUCACUUGAGGCCUGUAGAGGUAUGUGGAAUUGCCGGUGUAGUGGUGAAAUGCGUAGAGAUCGGCAGGAACACCCAGGGGGAAGCCAGCAUACUGGACAGGUCCUGACACUCAGGUGCGACAGCGUGGGGAGCGAACCGGAUUAGAUACCCGGGUAGUCC
rnacentral:rRNA from 1 species